GCCGGUUUAUAAAAAAAAAAACAUAGAGAAAAAAACAUUAUUUUGCUCACCUGACACGGUUUAUCAAAAAACUCACACCAAAUCCCUAAAUCCCAAAACCACGAUCUUUGUUGUCUUCUUCGAUCUCUUCGCCUCGAAUCCCUAAAUUACUCUCUCAAUCUCGUUCUCUCCAACAUCUUCAUCGAUGUCUCCAAAGAGAAAUCGUUGUCGUCCUGUUCUCUUCACCUCAAAUCCCUAAUUUCUCUUUUAUUAUCGUUCCAACUGUAGAAAUCAUUGCCGUCAUGUUACACGUUCAGAGUUUUUAUGCUUGGCUGCAUCAACAUGAUUAUCAGAUUAAGAAAUCUUUGAAUCCAAAGGCUCAAGGCGUCUUUCUGAGAUAUACAUGGAAGUGAGGAACAAGCACAAACGCCUAUCUUGGAUAGGCAAGGAUGCUUGGAAAGAGCUUGUGGAUGAAUGAGAAAUAAGAAAAAUCGUGCUUCUGCUAAAUGUGGGUCUGUCCAUACUGGCGGAUCAAUAUCUUUCACUGAGAACUCCUUACGGAUGGUAACCGAAUAUGAAGAGUCAAGAGAUGGUAGACAUUUUGAGUCUAGCUAGCAUUAAUUAAGGAUUAUCAAGCAACAUACUAGGGAAUAUUUAGAUAUUUUUUGAACUUAUUUUGACAUAAUAUUUUGUAUGUUUAACCACUUUAAUUAAAUUUUUGAUGUAUGGAUGUUAUCAAUAUUUAAUGAAUUAUAUAAAUGAGAUUAAGUUGUUUAUAUUUA